rnacentral:rRNA from 1 species
AGCUUGCUUUCUCGAGCGAGUGGCGAACGGGUGAGUAACGCGUGAGGAACCUGCCUCAAAGAGGGGGACAACAGUUGGAAAUGACUGCUAAUACCGCAUAACACAUAGGUGUCGCAUGGCACUUAUGCCAAAGAUUUAUCGCUUCAAGAUGGCCUCGCGUCUGAUUAGCUAGUUGGCGGGGUAACGGCCCACCAAGGCGACGAUCAGUAGCCGGACUGAGAGGUUGAACGGCCACAUUGGGACUGAGAUACGGCCCAGACUCC